AAUAUUUCCCCCCCAAAAUAAGUAAAUAAAAAUAAGUCAAGGAGAACUUCCAAUAAGAUGUUGCACAUGGUGGGUCCCACCCCUGUGAACACCCUUCAGAUGCACUGGCUCCCGUUUGAAGAGACAGUACAGGGACCGCCUGGCUUAUUAAACAGCUCACCGAAUACCACGGAUGAAGUUUAAUGAACUGUGACUCCUCCAAGCCCAGACCACCUAGUUGCAUGCCUUUGAUUAGCGAGGCUGGGAGAUGUGACCUCCUGAACCCUGAGUAGUUGCGGCAGACAGAAACGUAAACACCAGCCAAAGCAGCAAAGUCAUAGGCAUUAACUUUUAACAAAUAUUUAUUGAAUAUCUAGCAGCCUCCACGCUCAUAUUCCAGGAGCGAUUGGCAAACUGAAGGAGGGAGAACAACAGACACGCAUGUGACCAACCACAAUUUGUUUUCACAUGUGCUGCAUGAAAGAACAAAGAAUUCGGAGAACACAUCCAAAAAAGAAAAAGUAAUACAUUCUGCCUGAGGAGUUGGAGGAGCCUGGAGGAACUCACAGAAGUGGUGGCAUUCAAGGAAAGCCUUAGGAAGGAAAGAAAGUCACCAAGCAGAGGAGGUGGGGGAGAACAUUCGAUAAUGAGAGUGGAAACAGCACACAGUGUGGCAGCGAGGAGCACAUGGUGUGUCCAUGGAAGGACUACGAGUUGUGGAGGAAAAACAGUAUUUGAUAUGAGGCUCAGAGGGCGAGAACUGCAGACCCCAGAGGCCUGCGAUGCGAGGUGCACAGAAAUCAGGAUGGCAGGAGCAUCACAAGAGAUGACCUCAGCUGUCUAUGGACAUUAAAAAGAUGUGGUACACAUACACAAUGAAAUACGACUCAGCAAUAAA